rnacentral:rRNA from 1 species
CUUGACGACCAUAGAGUGUUGGAACCACCUGAUCCCAUCCCGAACUCAGAAGUGAAACGAUACAUCGCCGAUGGUAGUGUGGGGUUUCCCCAUGUGAGA